UACAGAGGUCUCAAGCGUUGUUCGGAUUCAUUGGGCGUAAAGGGUGCGUAGGCGGCGCGGUAAGUCGGGUGUGAAAUCUCGGAGCUUAACUCCGAAACUGCAUUCGAUACUGCCGUGCUUGAGGACUGGAGAGGAGACUGGAAUUUACGGUGUAGCGGUGAAAUGCGUAGAUAUCGGAAGGAACGCCGGUGGCGAAAGCGAGCUGCUGGCCCUCUUCUGACGCUGAGGCGCGAAAGCCAGGGGAGCAAAGCAGG
rnacentral:rRNA from 1 species